GCCUUCGUGGUGUAGUGGUUAGGACGCUGGGCGCAUAGCCCAGGGGUCCGUGGUUCGAGUCCCAGUGAAGGCG
rnacentral:tRNA from 1 species